rnacentral:rRNA from 1 species
CCUACGGGAGGCUGCAGUGAGGAAUAUUGGUCAAUGGACGAGAGUCUGAACCAGCCAAGUAGCGUGAAGGAUGACUGCCCUAUGGGUUGUAAACUUCUUUUAUAUGGGAAUAAAAUGUUCCACGUGUGGGAUUUUGUAUGUACCAUAUGAAUAAGGAUCGGCUAACUCCGUGCCAGCAGCCGCGGUAAUACGGAGGAUCCGAGCGUUAUCCGGAUUUAUUGGGUUUAAAGGGAGCGUAGGUGGAUGGUUAAGUCAGUUGUGAAAGUUUUCGGCUCAACCGUAAAAUUGCAGUUGAAACUGGCAGUCUUGAGUACAGUAGAGGUGGGCGGAAUUCGUGGUGUAGCGGUGAAAUGCUUAGAUAUCACGAAGAACUCCGAUUGCGAAGGCAGUUCACUGGACUGCAACUGACACUGAGGCUCGAAAGUGUGGGUAUCAAACAGGAUUAGAUACCCGAGUAGUC